rnacentral:lncRNA from 1 species
CUGAGGGGAGGCGGCCGUCAGUCCCGCGCCAUCGCCGGACCCCGCUGCAAACCGGGCGGCCGGAGGGCGGUGGUCCAAGGGUCCAGGGGCCUGUGGCGCCGCCGCGGCGCGCACCCGGAGGGGCAGCCGGAGCGCGAGCCAGCCGCCGCGGCCCCUGGGGGAGAGGCCGGAGCGCGCGACCUCCUUCUCCCGCUCCUCGUGCUUCACCUAGAGCACUCUUCGCCGCCCCUCACCCCACCCCUUUGGCGCACACCUCCCCACACGUACACACGCGCGCGGGCACCGCGCACUCACUCACGCACACCCCGAGUGGGUGUGAUCUCAGAGCCGGGAUGCGCUCUCGCGCCCGGAGUUCACACUGGGCCUCGACCAAAACCUCCAGAGCAGGCAAGCUGCCCUUUGGGCUACGCUAUUUAGGCAUGACUAAGAGAUAUUGUGAAAUUACAACCCAACAAUGCUUUGUGGGACAGGCGUUCCCAUACCUAAGAAAUUGUCCAGCGUUGAACCAGCAUGUCUCAAAAUGGCAUCUGCGGAUGAACUGCAGGCGGCUGGAGACAGAUUUGCUGACCUCUAAUUGUCGAGGUCUCCCGCUGACGUCUGUGAGCUGUGCCUCAAAGACAGAAAGGAUCGGGCUCUGUGAUCUCUCUUCUGAAUGACAGCGACGCUGCCUGCCAGGAGGGGGCUGUCACUUCAGAUUCCACAGCAACUUGAGCAGCUGCAGCUGCUGCCUGAGGGAAAACCAGAUGCACCAAUAUUUUGAAUGUGCUGUCAGGUUUGCUAGGAAUGUACAGACUUGUUGCAGUUGUUUUGCAGGAUUCUGGUAUUUGAAAUCUGUCACAAAGCCAAUUCCAAUUGAGGUAAUAAUAUGAUAACUCUGAGACUAGGCGCCAUGUACUAAAUUUUACUUGAGGGUUCACACGUUCUUACCGACAAGUUCUACGAACCCCAUGUUAUAAAUAGGGAAAGUCCCCAGCACGUCUCAGGACACAUCGUAAAUCAGUUCUAUAAUUGGUAAUGUGGUGUCAUAUCUAUUCUCCAGGAACUUUCAACCAUUCUUGUACUAUGUAUAAUGUAUUCUUUUAUCCUGGAAAGGAUGGGGGCCGUUUAUUUCCACCUGGGAGUGAAGAAUUAUCAAGUUAAAAUCAAGGGCUCUAAACAAAUUUUAUUUGGAAUGAAGCAUUAUUAUUGUAAUUCAGAGACAGAAUUUAUAUUUUAUAUAUUCGUGUGUGAUCAUUAUUGGAUAUUCAAAUGGCACUCUUUCUCAAAUUCCCAUUCUUUGUCAAGAAGGCAGACUUUGUACUCUUCUGAUCAGAUUUUCUCUUUCUAUAGCCGUUUUCCCCAAUUUGCUCUUUUUGUCACUUUAGAAAGUGUGAGCAUGCCAAUUUAAGAUUAUCUCACAGAGUUCACAGUUUUAAAAGCCGUAUUUCUUCCUUGAUCUUCCUUGACUAUCUUGAUUCUCAACCUAAAAUGAAAAUUUGAUCCUUUUGGAACUUAAUUGAAUGCUUUGAUCAUUAGGGAUUUUCACUAGGCAAAAAGCACAAGCAGGAGAGGCUAACAUCUUAAUGUGAUGAACUUCCACUGCAGAAGAUUAUACCUCUGAGGAAGAAGACAUGCCCUAUUGCACAAGCAGGGCUGUGGUUUGCCUUGUUUAUUCUGUGUCUCUGGCAUAUAGAACAGUGCUUGGCAUAAAGUAAUGAUGAUAUACUGUUUAUUGAAGGAAAGCAUGAAUGAAUGAAUAAGCAAUUGAAUAAAUCAAAGACUCUCAGGAGGAGCCUUUGAUGUUGUUAUGGGGAGAAAAAAGGAAGAAGACUGCAAAAACUCUUCUAACAUUUCUUCUCCUUGCCUUUAAUAACAUAAAUGUAUAUUGGAUGCAGUAGAGGGGCUAAGAGAAGGUCUCUGCCCUCAAGCCAUCUUCAUAGCAGCUACUGAUUCCAGUGGCAGCUUUCAGGUCCUCAGUCCUUCUAAUGUCCAAGAUAUACACUGUAACCAAGUAAAUGUUCCUGUAUGCUGUUCCCAAGAUUUAGAAAACAGGAACUUUGUGGUUUGCAUCAUCAUUUUUUUGAGGCUUCCUUCAGCUCUAAUUCCUUCCACAUAUUUAGUGUUCUAUUAGUAUUAUUGUUGAACUGAACUUUUAAAUUUCAAAAGCAUAUCUUAAAGACAGUUUCAUAUUUCCAGAUAAUAAAUAGCUUUUUCAUUACUUUUUGCUAAAUAGAGAUGCUUAGAGCAUUCCAAAAAGUUUCUUAAUCACUGAACUUCUUUGGCAUGGACAUUCAUCAUGUUCCCCCCACUUGCAUACUUACUUUGUCUCUCUACAUACUUGCCUUGUGUCUUUUUCUGACUUUCAGUUUUCUCCUGUAUAAAUUGUGGAUAAUAUUUACCUUUUGAAGAGUUAAUAAUAUUCAAGACACCCCAUAUAAAAACACUGAAAAUUUCUGCAUAUUUUAAGUAUUCUUCUCAAAAUUGCCAAUUAGCAGCAUCAGAUAGGAUUAUUAAUAUGGUCCUUAGGUGACACAGACAUUAGCAAUGAAUAAUACCUUGACUAUAUUCUCAAGUAGCCACAGAUCCAGCAGUUAAGUAAAUGAAUCAUAAUGCAACUGGAUGAUAAUAAGUGAAAAAAGUACUUAGGAACAUGGUGAUUAACUUCAUCAUGGAUACACCGGGAAGAUUUUAUAUAGAGAAUGGAAUUUUGAUUUCAGUCUUGAUGAAUGACUGUAAGUGUACCAAGCCAAGAGAAUUAAGAGGGUCAUUUUAGGCUGUAGAUGUUCAUAAAAUAGAAGUUCAGAGGGACCAGAACCUUCAGUGCGGGUUCAGCCAGAGUGGAGGUGGGAGGGAGGUGGUGAAGAAGUAGGGAAAGUUUGUUGAGACAGAUGUGAAGGAACUUGUAAGGGAAGCCAAGGAAUUCGAUUUAAUUUUUUGUAAUUAAAUCGAUGUUUUGGAAAAUUAACUCAGAAGUAGUGUGAAUGAUAGCAUAGUUAAAAAAGGUUAAAAGGAUAGAGUCUAGAGCUAGACGGCUUGAGUUAAAAUCUUGCCUCUGCUGUUUACUAGUUUAUGACAUUAGGGAAAGUCACUGCAACUCGAUGCCUCAGCUUUCCUGGAUGUAAAAUGGGGAUAGUGGAAAUAUAUACUUCAUAAGUGAUUGGGAGGUCCAAGGGAGUUAACCUAUGAUUAGAAUAGGGCCUGGCACAGAAUAAAUGUUGUAAUCAAGUGCUGGUUAAGUACCAUUAUAGUACUAUUUUAAGUACUAUAAAAUAGAAAGUGUGUAUUAUGGAGGCAAAAUCCAGAUGGGAGGUAGCUGAGGAUCAGGUCCUAGAUUUAGACAAUCAUUUCUGUGGAUUGCCUAAUGCAGAAGGAAAUUUUCUCUAAUCCAAAAUAAAGAGAAAUCCAAAUAAAACAACAACGUUUCUUGAAACAUAGGUGAGCUUGGAACCAUCAGCGAUUGGGAACAAAUACACAAAGUCACAAUGUAGUAUGUAAACCAGAUCUAGGUCCUAUCGCUGGGGACUGGGCCCAGCAAAAGGUGAAGAAGCCAGGCUUCAAGACAUAUGCACACAGAGAGCUGAAAUUAAGCUAUCUAUGUAAAGCUAGAACCAUUGAAGAGUUGCUCAAGCUAUGAAAAAUGGAACCAGAGAACUGGCCUGAGGGAUGUGACAAGAACAUUUUUAGUCUAUAGAGUUCCAUAGAUGGAAAAAGUGACAUGUGCAGAACAAAUAAGGAUGUUCCUAAUGAAUAUUACCUACAAUGUAUGGAGGUUUUAGAUCAAUAAAGUGAACGUAAAAGUGUUCAUGAACAACCCCCCCAUGUGCUAUAUAAGAAACACAGUUCAGAUUCAAUUCUGUAAGUAGUUUGAGAAUAAAAAUAUAG